UAUGGUAAUUGUGUGCCAGCCUCUUCUUUACUACGUAUGGUGCAAGCGUUAUCCGGAUUUACUGGGUGUAAAGGGAGCGCAGGCGGUGCGGCAAGUCUGAUGUGAAAGCCCGGGGCUCAACCCCGGUACUGCAUUGGAAACUGUCGUACUAGAGUGUCGGAGGGGUAAGUGGAAUUCCUAGUGUAGCGGUGAAAUGCGUAGAUAUUAGGAGGAACACCAGUGGCGAAGGCGGCUUACUGGACGAUAACUGACGCUGAGGCUCGAAAGCGUGGGGAGCGAACAGG
rnacentral:rRNA from 1 species